rnacentral:rRNA from 1 species
UACAGAGGUCCCAAGCGUUGUUCGGAUUCAUUGGGCGUAAAGGGUGCGUAGGUGGCGUCGUAAGUCGGGUGUGAAAUUUCGGAGCUCAACUCCGAAACUGCAUUCGAUACUGCGGUGCUUGAGGACUGGAGAGGAGACUGGAAUUUACGGUGUAGCAGUGAAAUGCGUAGAUAUCGAGAGGAACACCUGCGGCGAAGGCGGGUUGCUGGGCCGACACUGACGCUGAUGCGCGAAAGCCAGGGGAGCGAACGGG